UACGUAGGGUGCGAGCGUUAAUCGGAAUUACUGGGCGUAAAGCGUGCGUAGGCGGUUCGCUGUGUCCGAUGUGAAAGCCCCGGGCUUAACCUGGGAAUGGCAUUGGAAACUGGCGGGCUUGAGUGCGGCAGAGGGGGGUGGAAUUCCGCGUGUAGCAGUGAGAUGCGUAGAGAUGCGGAGGAACACCGAUGGCGAAGGCAGCCCCCUGGGUCGACACUGACGCUCAGGCACGAAAGCGUGGGGAGCAAACAGG
rnacentral:rRNA from 1 species